GGAAACUGUCUCCAGACUACUGAUGAAGCGAUUACAGAAUGUGCGGACCCCUCAAAAGACCAAGGGCAGAAAGCCCAAGGCUGCUACACUUGGAAAGAAGAUCAAGGGCCAUACACCUGAAUGGGAGAAGAGAAGAGAAGAGAAGGCAAGGCGCCUUGAGUUUGGAUCUGGACCGAUCGACAGCAUCCGUGAUGCAUUAACUGAUGACUAUCACUGCAGUUCUAGUGGCUCCACGGUGUUUCUUGACAAGUCCCAAUUUAGAUCCAGCAACCCAGAGAGUGAAGAGCAGGUUGAUGGUAAUGAAGCAUGUGCUGCGGUUGCUGUGCCAGGCCUGAGCCAACCCCCUCUGGAGCAGCAGCUCUAUGUGAGCCGGGCUCUGCUGCUGUGUGUGACUGAGUGAUGCAGAGCUACAGUAGCUACGCUCAGAGUUACUGCAGGUCAUGCUGGGCGGGAUACAGAGCCACCUGGAUAGCAGCGUAGUGCAUGUGAGGGGCAUGGUGGUUGGGGGGUGUCUCCGCUCCUGCAUGGACAUCAACAGAGCCAAGCUCAAACUCGAGGAUGAGGAGACCAAGGAGCUGCUCUCACUGAUGACUCCACUUUCUGAUGAAGAAACGGAGCCACUUGAUGACAGAUUGGCUCGUCCUCGAGGUCAAAGCCAUCACAGGCUGCUUCAGUGGCCCAGAAAUCAGGAGCUGACCCAGACUCUUGUUAUACACUACAUUUAUUAACAUAAUGUUGUCUAUGAGACUGAAGUUGUAUAUUUAAUUCAAAUCAUUACAACUUAAUGAAUCUUCCCACGGGCAGUUAAGGCAUGGUAUGGAGCUCACCAACUUGUAGUCCUAAAAAACAUAAAUGCUUCAAAAAUCACAAAUUUAGAUUAAUUGAUGAAGAUUAUUUCAUUGAGGAGAACAUAUACGAUCUCCUAAGCCUGUGUUUACCACAGACCUUAUUUUCGGUGUUUAUCCAAAAACGCCAUUAAUUUCCCCAUAACCUUGUCCAACGAACCAUGGUGGAGUUAGUGCCUACAAAAAGAUGCCAUUUUUAUUUCUCUCUACAGUAGUGUUGUAUUAACUAGGCUCUAUGUCCCUGUCCUGUGUUUGUAUGAACCAGUGAUGAUUCGCUCACCCCCUACUGACCAGGAGAUGAGAUUAGCCACCUUGCUACCCCUGAGACAGUCUUGGAGAGUAAGAUACAGUAAAAACAGUACAUUCGGAAAGUAUUCAGACCCCUUCCCCAUUUCGUUAUAGCCUUAUUCUAAAAUGGAUUAAAUGAAACAUUGGACUCUGCAAGGUGUUGAAAGUGUUCCACAGGGAUGCUGGCCCAUGUUGACUCCAAUGCUUCCCACAGUUGUCAAGUUGUUUGGCUGGCCUUUUGGUGAUGGAUCUUUCUUGAUACACACAGGAAACCGUUGAGUGCAGGGUACUUGAAUUAAAAUGAGCAGAACAGAACAUGAUCAAAUAUGUUAUUUCCUUACUAGUUUUCCUUUCACCACAAUGGCACUCAGCCAGGCAGGUACAGAAUUGAUUGAUUAAGCGCUGACAAACAUCACAUCGAUAGCUAAAAGGCCGGGCAAAUGUAGAUGUAUUCCUGGCAGGAUACUGAUGUUAAUGAAUGGGUUUUGCCAGACAACCAGGGAUGUAGUGGAGCGUGAACGCCAUUUACGCACGUUUUUACUUGUGAAAUAGCGUUUACUCACCUUUUUAAAUGUAUUUUUGUAUUAUUGUUUACCCACUUAUUAUUACGUUCCCAGCAUUGAUCAACGCUCAGAAGGAUUGUUGAUCAGAGUUCUAACCUCAGCAGGAGCAGUUGACUGAAAUUAAGAUGGCUUAUACAAUUUCUCUUAACAAAAUACAUUUUAUUUACAGAGGGUAGUGAGACAGGGAGCGGUAAGUCAGGCUGCAAUGAAGGAGGCAAAGGAAGAUCCAAAGAGAAAGCGUUGAAGCAAGCAGGGACGGAGGACAGUAUUACAGUUGUACCCAAACUUGGGGUCCCCAACAUUUUUAAAUAGGUCCCCUGAGAGUUCUUAAUCUUAUUAAACACAUUAAUAACUUGUAUCUCUUCAAAUGGGUAUAGAAUGCAACAUUUUAGUCAACUAAAUGAAGGGCAUUUUACACAGUCAGAAUUCGUCAUUGUGUUGGGACAGCUUGUGGGACCCAACAUGUUGACUUAUGAAGACAAUUUAAAUAUUAUCAUGUAAACUGAACAAAAAUAUAAAUGCAACAUGCAAAAAUUUCUAAUAUUAUACUGGGUUAGUUCAUAUGAGAAAAUCAGUCAACAUCAUCAGUACUGACUUACCACUCUUGUGUAGUAAAAAUAAGUAGUGAAAUGUAUUAUUGAGUAGAACUUGUAAGGUAGUGAUGGUGGUUUUUUCAUGUGGUUGAUAUACUGCAAUCUGGUGGCGACGAAAAACAUUUGCAUAAUAGGAACUAUUACAAAUUGAUGAUCCUUGAAAAUAAAUAUUAGUGCUUAAAAGACUGCAGCAUUGCAGUUCUUGACACAAACCGGUGUGCCUGGCACCUACUACCAUACCCCGUUCAAAGGCACUUUAAUCUUUUGCCUUGGCCAUUCACCCUCUGAAUGGCACACAUACACAAUCCAUGUCUCAAGGAUAUAACAUCAAUAAGGGAUCAUAGCGUUCACCUGGUCAGUCUGUCGUGGUGUCCACAACGUUUUGUACACUUAGUGUACAUACCAUGCACAGUUUUGACAAUGUGGAUGAUACAUACUGAAUUUAUACUGAAUUUAUACUGUUUUUCAUACUAAGAUGUGUUGCUUUUUCACAUAUUUGUUAAUUGGUUUUGCAAGAGUUGGUUGAUGGGUCAGUUGGUUUUUGAAUAUGUUGAUGCCAUUUUUUU